AUACGUAGGUGGCGAGCGUUGUCCGGAAUUACUGGGCGUAAAGGGUGCGUAGGCGGAAUCUUAAGUCAGAUGUGAAAACCUUGGGCUUAACCUGAGAAUUGCAUUUGAAACUGGGGUUCUAGAGUGCAGGAGAGGGAAGCGGAGUUCCUAGUGUAGCGGUGAAAUGCGUAGAUAUUAGGAAGAACACCAGUGGCGAAGGCGGCUUUCUGGACUGUAACUGACGCUGAUGCACGAAAGCGUGGGGAGCAAACAGGAUUAGAUACCCUGGUAGUCCACGCUGUAAACGAUGAGUGCUAGGUGUGGGGGGCUAAGCCCUCUGUGCCGCAGUAAACGCAAUAAGCACUCCGCCUGGGGAGCACGGUCGCAAGACUAAA
rnacentral:rRNA from 1 species